AUGCACGCUGGCGGCGUGCCUCAUCCAUGCAAGUCGAGCGAACAGACGAGGAGCUUGCUCCUCUGACGUUAGCGGCGGACGGGUGAGUAACACGUGGAUAACCUACCUAUAAGACUGGGAUAACUUCGGGAAACCGGAGCUAAUACCGGAUAAUAUAUUGAACCGCAUGGUUCAAUAGUGAAAGACGGUUUUGCUGUCACUUAUAGAUGGAUCCGCGCCGCAUUAGCUAGUUGGUAAGGUAACGGCUUACCAAGGCAACGAUGCGUAGCCGACCUGAGAGGGUGAUCGGCCACACUGGAACUGAGACACGGUCCAGACUCCUACGGGAGGCAGCAGUAGGGAAUCUUCCGCAAUGGGCGAAAGCCUGACGGAGCAACGCCGCGUGAGUGAUGAAGGUCUUCGGAUCGUAAAGCUCUGUUAUUAGGGAAGAACAAAUGUGUAAGUAACUAUGCACGUCUUGACGGUACCUAAUCAGAAAGCCACGGCUAACUACGUG
rnacentral:rRNA from 1 species